AGGAACAUGUGGUUAAUUCGAUGGUACGCGAGGUACCUUACCUGGCUUAAAUGUAGAGUGCAUUUUUUAGAGAUUAGAAAUUCCCUUCGGGGCUUUCUGCAAGGUGCUGCAUGGUUGUCGUCAGCUCGUGCCGUGAGGUGUCGGGUUAAGUCCCAUAACGAGCGCAACCCUUAUCGUUAGUUGCCAUCUGGUAAUGCAGGGGACUCUAGCGAAACUGCCACCGUAAGGUGAGAGGAAGGUGGGAUGACGUCAAAUCAGCACGGCCCUUAUGUCCAGGGCUACACACGUGUUACAAUGGUCGGUACAGAGGGCAGCUACCUGGUGACAGGAUGCUAAUCUCGAAAACCGAUCUCAGUUCGGAUCGAAGUCUGCAACUCGACUUCGUGAAGCUGGAUUCGCUAGUAAUCGCGCAUCAGCCAUGGCGCGGUGAAUACGUUCCCGGGCCUU
rnacentral:rRNA from 1 species